rnacentral:rRNA from 1 species
AGCAGCCGCCGCGGUAAGACAGAGGAUGCAAGCGUUAUCCGGAAUGAUUGGGCGUAAAGCGUCUGUAGGUGGCUUUUCAAGUCCGCCGUCAAAUCCUAGGGCUCAACCCUGGACAGGCGGUGGAAACUACCAAGCUGGAGUAUGAUAGGGGCAGAGGGAAUUUCCAGUGGAGUGGUGAAAUGCGUUGAGAUCGAAAAGAACACCAACGAUGAAAGCACUCUGCUGGGCCGACACUGACACUGAGAGACGAAAGCUAGGGGAGCAAAUGGGAUUAGAUACCCCCGUAGUCCCUGUCUCUUAUAC